GGGCCCGCACAAGCGGUGGAGCAUGUGGUUUAAUUCGAUGAUACGCGAGGAACCUUACCAGGACUUAAAUGUAAGUUGCAUGAUUCAGAAAUGAAUCUUUCUUCGGACUACUUACAAGGUGCUGCAUGGUUGUCGUCAGCUCGUGCCGUGAGGUGUCAGGUUAAGUCCUAUAACGAGCGCAACCCUUGUCGUUAGUUGCCAGCAAGUAAAGUUGGGGACUCUAGCGAGACUGCCGGUGCAAACCGAGAGGAAGGUGGGGAUGACGUCAAAUCAUCACGGCCCUUACGUCCUGGGCUACACACGUGCUACAAUGGUAUGGACAAUGAGCAGCCACUACGCGAGUAGGAGCGAAUCUAGAAACCAUAUCACAGUUCGGAUUGGUCUCUGCAACUCGGGACCAUGAAGUUGGAAUCGCUAGUAA
rnacentral:rRNA from 1 species